rnacentral:rRNA from 1 species
GAUGAACGCUGGCGGCGUGCCUAAUACAUGCAAGUCGAGCGAAUGGAUUAAGAGCUUGCUCUUAUGAAGUUAGCGGCGGACGGGUGAGUAACACGUGGGUAACCUGCCCAUAAGACUGGGAUAACUCCGGGAAACCGGGGCUAAUACCGGAUAACAUUUUGAACUGCAUGGUUCGAAAUUGAAAGGCGGCUUCGGCUGUCACUUAUGGAUGGACCCGCGUCGCAUUAGCUAGUUGGUGAGGUAACGGCGCACCAAGGCAACGAUGCGUAGCCGACCUGAGAGGGUGAUCGGCCACACUGGGACUGAGAAACGGCCCAGACUCCUACGGGAGGCAGCAGUAGGGAAUCUUCCGCAAUGGACGAAAGUCUGACGGAGCAACGCCGCGUGAGUGAUGAAGGCUUUCGGGUCGUAAAACUCUGUUGUUAGGGAAGAACAAGUGCUAGUUGAAUAAGCUGACACCUUGACGGUACCUAACCAGAAAGCCACGGCUAACUACGUGCCAGCAGCCGCCGCGG